UGAAAGUUGCUUAGUGGUUGCCAAAUGGUACCUCAUUAAGCCAAAGGAAUUACUAAGUGGCUUCAGAAAAGAAAAUAAGCCGAAAGAGAAGUGUAUGAAUUAGAUAGUAUCUGCUGUCUUACUUAAAUGGAGUGUGAUACCUAUGCAGUUGUCACAUUUGCUCUGUCUUGGACAACAUUUUCAGGUUUAGAGUAUUCAAGAAAGCCUGGGAUUCUGUUUUCUUACCUACUGCUGAUCCUUCGACAAGCAAGGGCUUGCAACACUGACGGUGACGUACUGCUAUGUUGUCUGAAGCUGUGCGUGGAGUAGACUUGGCUGAAGUUAAACGGGAAGAAUUUUGAGUGCAAUGUUUGGUUCACACGCUGACAAAUUUGUCUUGGACUCAGUGGAAAUGAAGUCUACCUGAGAUCGCUUUGAAGACAACAUUAAAAGGUUACUGCAGAAGAUAUGGAGAUGACAAAGUUUGACAGAUCUGCUACUGAGACACUGCUAAUCACUGAAAAGGUACUCAAAGACACAUAUCAGAAAGUCUUUGGGGACAAUUUCGUUUAAACAAAACAAACAAAAAGAAGUCAGCAAUAAGUAUAUACUGUCUGGGUGAAUAUUUUGGAAAGCAGGGAUAAAUAAUUCAUAAUUUAUAUGAAAUAAAAAGCAGGAGAUUCUGGCUUUGCAGCCAAUGAUGUCAU